UUUGCACAGGAUUGUCAAGAGCUGAAAAACUUCAAAGUAUCACAGAACUGUGGUUCAAUUUUAGAAAUAUGAAGCAUUUGGAGUAACUAAUUUGGCCAAAUAUUUAUGUUUUGGUGCAUAGCUGAACUGCUUAUCGGACCUUCAGGAAUUCUUUGUUUUUCAUUUUUGUGCUUUUAUUUCCUCUAUCUCCUCCUCCCCCUCGCUAGAAGCAAAACACCCUCUGGCAAUGAAAGUUAAAGAUGCUUCUCCAUAGAGGCACCAAGCCAGGCCCAAGGGGGCUGAUCCCAAGCCACUGCCAACUGCACUCCAAGCAGUAAUUUUCCUUCCCCCAUGCUCGCUUCUGGGAAGUGCUGGGAAACGUAGAAGUCUCUAAGGCCUCCCUGGGAAAGAGAAAUCUUUGCCCUGAUAAGUAUACCAAUUCUCUCUUAUUGACUCACUUUAAAAGGCUGCUGCAGAGAGGCUGGCCUUCGUGUCUGCAAAACUGGGGCAGAGAGGUAGGUAGGAGAGUCCCAAAGAAUGUCAAAGACAGAGGACCAAAUACCUUGCCUCUCUUCCCACUACCAGCACCCCUUACCUUUCACUACCAGGGUCCCACAAUUUCUCUUCAUUCAUAAUCUUAAAGAAAUAGAAGACUGCUUAGAGAGAAGAUGCCCACUGACAAGAAAGAAGAUAAGACAUUGUUUUUAACUCUCAGCUGACCUUUGCUCUCAAGGAGGCAUGCAAUGACAAGAUCUGCAUUUCCUAGUAGCUUCUUCCCCUCCAGGCCUGGGGGCUACUGAACCACACCAGAGAUCCCAGGACAUUCCAUAGCUGUGAGGCUGGGAGCCCGGAAUGUCUGGAACCCACAGAGGGAAGGUGCCCCAGCAUGCUCCCCCACCCCAACCACAUUUCCCCAAAGAUCUCAAAGCACUCUCCAAGGAUGAUCUCAUUUUCUAAUAGAGAGUGGCGGAGAAGGGCAGAGGGAGAGAGAGAGAAUUCUUAAGUAGACUCCACACUCAGCAUGGAGCCCACUGUGGGGCUCAAUCUCAUUAUCCUGGGAUCACGACCUGAGACCAAAUCAAGAGUCAGACACUCAACGGACUGAGCCACCCAGGCAUCCCUAACAUCAGGGUUUUUAAAAAUGCUUUUGACACCUGAAACUAACAUAAUAUUAUAUGUCAAUUAUGCUUCCAUAACACAAAAAUAAAUAAAAUGCUUUUGGAAACUAAAACCUGACCAUAAAAAAUGUAUGAUUAUUAAUUACGUGAGUACUAAUAUGGGUACCCAGGUAUAUCAAAACCUUAUGAGCAUAUUUCUCUUCUCAUAUGCAGUGGGCACUAGACAAAUUCCCACUACUCAGCAAGGAGGAGCCCUGCCCCUCUUUGUUCUUUUUCUAUAACUUGGUUUUUAGGUGCCACUCUUGUCUCUCCCAUUAAGAUGACUGAACAUGAAUGCUUGAGGUUGGGGAGUUUCAGAGCUUUAUCAGCCAUAUAGCAUAUGGUUAAGAGCACCA